GAUGAACGCUGACAGAAUGCUUAACACAUGCAAGUCAACUUGAACUUCGGUUUGGGUGGCGGACGGGUGAGUAACGCGUAAAGAACUUGCCUCACAGAUAGGGACAACGUUUGGAAACGAAUGCUAAUACCUGAUAUUAUGAUUUUAGGGCAUCCUAGAAUUAUGAAAGCUAUACGCGCUGUGAGAGAGCUUUGCGUCCCAUUAGCUAGUUGGAGAGGUAACGGCUCACCAAGGCGAUGAUGGGUAGCCGGCCUGAGAGGGUGAUCGGCCACAAGGGGACUGAGACACGGCCCUUACUCCUACGGGAGGCAGCAGUGGGGAAUAUUGGACAAUGGACCAAGAGUCUGAUCCAGCAAUUCUGUGUGCACGAUGAAGUUUUUCGGAAUGUAAAGUGCUUUCAGUUGGGAAGAAAAAAAUGACGGUACCAACAGAAGAAGUGACGGCUAAAUACGUGCCAGCAGCCGCGGUAAUACGUAUGUCACAAGCGUUAUCCGGAUUUAUUGGGCGUAAAGCGCGUCUAGGUGGUUAUGUAAGUCUGAUGUGAAAAUGCAGGGCUCAACUCUGUAUUGCGUUGGAAACUGUGUAACUAGAGUACUGAAGAGGUAAGCGGAACUACAAGUGUAGAGGUGAAAUUCGUAGAUAUUUGUAGGAAUGCCGAUGGGGAAGCCAGCUUACUGGACAGAUACUGACGCUGAAGCGCGAAAGCGUGGGUAGCAAACAGG
rnacentral:rRNA from 1 species